rnacentral:rRNA from 1 species
UACAGAGACUGCAAGCGUUAUUCGGAUUCACUGGGCGUAAAGGGUGCGCAGGCGGCCGAGUGUGUUAGGCGUGAAAGCCUGGGGCUUAACCCCAGAAUUGCACCUAAAACUACACGGCUAGAGCAUUGGAGAGGGUAGCGGAAUUCACGGUGUAGCAGUGAAAUGCGUAGAUAUUGGGAGGAACACCGGUGGCGAAGGCAGCCCCCUGGGUCGAUACUGACGCUCAUGCACGAAAGCGUGGGGAGCAAACAGG